GUGGGCGUAGCUCAGUUGGCAGAGCACUGGACUGUGGCUCCAGUCGUCGAGGGUUCGAGCCCCUUCGCCCACC
rnacentral:tRNA from 1 species